GUUGGCAAUUGGGACUGUACUAAGUGAGGCGUAGCAUUUGUGUCAACUUUGUAUCUGAGGUUUAAGCUACUGGACCAGUUCUGCUCUAAGUGUGUGGGUUAACAGCACAAAUAAUAACUGAGACCAUGAAAAGGUAUAAUAUUCACUUUACCUUUACUUUUUAGUCUCUUUAGGUUAUUCCAGACCAAUCUAGACUUUUUAAGACUGGUCUGUGAGUAUCUAUUUUAGUUAAAGGUUCAAUGUGUGUACCUGUUUUGAGUUUGGUUGUUUUCUUGGGUUAACACUUUUUUUUUCUCCUUUAACAGAUAAGGAAUCAAAUUUACGAUCAAAAUAAAGCAUAACACCAUUAUACCUGGUUCAAAAGAGUGAAUAUUUAUGAACAAAACCCAGAAUAACCAUGUGACACUUUAGAUCUGGAUCAAGUUAAGAUCCAAACCUAUUUACUCUGUUUUAGUUCUGUUCAAUUCACUUGAGUUCAAAGUUACAAAGUUACGUCAUUUAGCAGACGCUUUUAUCUGAAGCGACGCACAUAUGAGUCAUACACUAGAGGAGGACACACAUUGGGAACAAGGUGGGUUAAGUGUCUUGUCCAAAGACACAAUGGGCAGACUAGGGAUAGGGGGGAUUCAAACAGCAAACCCUCCAGUUGUUGGAUGACGUUGCUGUCCUACAGCAGACAGGAGCUUCUGGACAUUUGGACUCAACAUUCCGACAGGUUUAUCACCGAUCUCCGACUCAUCCCAGAGAUCUCCAGAACACUGGAGGCUGCUCACUCUUCCCGGCUGGGGGGAAGUGCACGCUGACGGCGCCGAGAACGUAGGCAAGGUAGGUGCAGAGGGCUACGAGCUAAGCUAAAGCAAAUUUUCCACCUGCUCCACCUAUCAUUAAAAAUAACCAAUCAUGUCUCCUGUCCCUCUGGUGUUACUUACAAAUAACAUAAAUCACACAAAAUUGACCUCAAGUGCUGGUAUUUGCUGACAAUUUUCAGCCAUCAUUUGUCUGUCACUGUGGUAGCGAGAAUGUCAUGAGCCCUGGUCCCCCAUCUAUCCAGGUCUUUGUACAGCCUGUUGGAAGGCAGUCAUACUGGCAUCUGCCCAUGACCCACACAUGUUCAUUGGCAACAUGAUGGAGGAGGAUGCCCAUCCAAAGCUCCUGAAUUUAUAUGAAGUUUCAGUUUAUAAAUUAGUGUAUAUGAGGAUUGUUCUUGUUCUUACCUUGAACUGCAGAUGGGUUGUUGCUUCUUUACAGCACCACCAAAAGUGGUUCACUAUGUCCCUGGUCUUUGGGAGGAGAAUGUUAUGCCACACUGCUGCCUGGCCUGCAGCAGCCAAACAUAUCAUUUUUUAAUAAAAGUAUUCAGACGAAAGGACCCAUUUUGGUGUUCAAUACACUAUGUAUGUAUGCCCUGUUGUCUUACUGUCACAAUCUUCUUUGCUUGACUCUUGGCACCAUGCCACUUGUCCAGACUGUGAUACACGCCAGCAUCCUUGUUUUUACCCUUGCCUGUUUCAGAGAAAAGAAAACUUCAAUUGGAGUACAUUUAUCAAUGAAAAAACAUUUGUUGAACAUUUUACUUCCUCAUAAGUGUUGAGAUUUGUACAUGUAUAUCAGUACACACUUCUUUGAGGAUGACCUCACUCAUUUGAUCUAUUGUCCUAAAAAAGGCCUAUUUUUUUCUCUGUUAGGACAGACUUCCUUGGACUUUAUCUUUUGUCAGCUAUGAUGAUAUUAGUGAUGUCAUUGCUGUCAUUGUCCAUGGCUGUAUAGAUGCAGUACUCUGCACAGUGACCAGGGCUUUCCAUUCUUCCAUCUCCUGAAAUAACUCAACCAAAGAAAAAAAAAGACAUCAUGAGGACUACUUGAUGAUGGUUUCAAAAAUCAAAGUUUUAGACUAAACAUGUGAGGACACUGUGUCCUCACUGAGGACCAGUACACUAUCUUUUGUGCACAACUGCUGGAUUGUUGCUGCCUUCUUUUCCUUUAAAAACUCUUUUAAGGAAUCCACACUGUAGGAAUUUUGGCUUCUAAAAAUGUGUUUCUUGCUACACUCCCCAUGUUUGUGUAUUUGAACAGUGGUUGUACAUUGGCGAAACUGUUCCCUGAAAGCAGUUUGUUGACUUCAAGCAUGAGAUCCCCCACCUGCAUACCAUCAUUGAGUUUAGGUUGGGAAUUCCAUGUCCAGGCAGUGCGUCCUUCAGAGUAGACCUGCAACAUUAUGAAAAAGAAGUUUUAACAUAAUUAUGAAAAAGAAGUUUUAACAUAAAGAAUAUGUCAAUUAAAAAAAUAUAAUAGCACAUUUUAUGCCUACCAUGCUGUUGUACCUUUGCAAAAACAUCAAAUAACUCAUAAAAAUCAGAGGCACUUAGGGGUUUCUUGUGCACCCUUAACUUUUAUCUAAGCUCCCCCUGUAAGUAGCAUAAUCUUUUAUUGACAGUGAUAUUAGCAGGCACUCCCUGGUCUGUCUUUCAGUCUUUCUACUGCCGACAAAUACUGGAAAAAUAUUAUAACCAAUAAAAUAUAAUGGGAUUAAGAGGAUUGUUGCAACACAUUAAAGAAAUGUGUCACAACCCAUCCUUACCCUGAAAGCUUUUGUUUGACUGGCUGUUUAAGCAUAGUUGUUUGGAAAAAUGUAAUCCAAUAUAUGUAACUCAUAUGAUUUUAUCCAUUCCCAGCCUUGAAAAUCACCAUGGGAUGAGGCGAUUAAUACAGAAAUGUUUGUAGUUUGUAGUCAGUUUGUAGUCAGUCCUCAUGCAUCUCAGACACAGCCAGCUGCAUAUUGAAGCCAAUGUGAGUUAUACUAGAGAUAAAAUGUCAGGAAAAAACAUAUUGGCAGCCCAUGGAUCACAAAAGGUUUGCGUAAUGCUUGUAAAAAAAAGAACACCCUCUAUAAACAAUUUUUAAGGCAAAGAACUGCAGAGGCUGAACAUAAAUAUAAGAAAUAUAAAAAUAAAUUAAUUAAUAUUAUGAGGACAUGCAAAAAAGAAUAUUAUGCCAAAUUAUUAGAGACUAGUAAAAACAAUAUUAAAGGUGUAUGGAAAAUAUUAAAUGGUAUUAUCAGAAAUGGCUCAAAUAAUAGGAGAUACCCUGAAUAUUUUAUUGACAAUGAUACUUCCUUAAGUAACAUGAAUGAUGUGGUUACUGGCUUUAACAAAUUCUUUGUAAAUGUAGGACCAAACUUGGCUGAGGAAAUAAAGGCCACGUGUAAUGGUGGGGAUGCUGAGGACACAGGCUUUUGGCAGGUAAUAUACAAAAGAUGUUCAGUGAUAAAGAGGGGGGUUACAAUUUGAGACGAGAGCUUAAUUUCAAGGUACAUUUUGCUGGUUCAACAUUGAAAACGAUGUGCAUUUCAGUUUGUGGAGUGAGUUUGUGGAAUUGACUGAGCAUGGAGGUUCAGCUAAGUCCAAACCUGAAUAAUUACAAGAAGGCAUAUAAAAAUAUUAUUUUCAAGAGGUAUUCAGAUGAGGAGGGGCUGUGUUGACCUAUUGAGUCAACACAGCCCUGUUUUCAGUUUUCAAUGGGUUGGUCUGAAUAAUUUUAUCCCUGAUACUACUGCAGUCAUUUAAACUAUUGUAUAUGCAGUAAAGAAAUUUGUGUUGGCAAAAGGGGGGUAGGAGCUCGAUAAGUUUUAAACUUCAUCCUACUCCUUUUCGGACAUUGUUGUUGUUGGUUUCUUCCUGAUUUGUAUUUUAUUGUCUUAUUUGAUUAAAUAAUGUUCGAAAUAAAAAAAAUAAAUAAAUAAAAAAAAAAAGCAGAUGUAACUAUGCUUAAGGUUGGAGCUAGGGUUAGGGUUAGGUGUGGGGUUGGAGCUAGGGUUAGGGUUAGGGUUGGAGUUAGGGUUAGUGUUGGAGCUAGGGUUAGGGUUAGGGUUAGGGUUGGAGUUAGGGUUAGUGUUGGAGCUAGGGUUAGGGUUGGGCUUGGAGCUAGGAUUUUUCUGAGUGCAAUGAACCAACUCCCAAGUCUCUAGGACGUUCCUAAAAAAAUUUGAUUUUUUCCCAUAGGAAUGCAUGGGUUAGGGUUAGGGUUAGGGUUGGAGCUAGGGUUAGGGUUAGGGUUGGAGUUAGGGUUAGUGUUGGAGCUAGGGUUAGGGUUAGGGUUGGAGUUAGGGUUAGUGUUGGAGCUAGGGUUAGGGUUGGGCUUGGAGCUAGGAUUUUUCUGAGUGCAAUGAACCAACUCCCGAGUCUCUAGGACGUU